rnacentral:rRNA from 1 species
GCCAGCAGCCGCGGUAAUACGGAGGGUGCAAGCGUUAUCCGGGAUUUAUUGGGUUUAAAGGGUGCGCAGGCGGAAUGAUAAGUCAGUGGUGAAAUCCUACAGCUCAACUGUAGAACUGCCACUGAUACUGGCAUUCUNGAGUACAGUUGAAGUGGGCGGAAUGUAUCAUGUAGCGGUGAAAUGCAUAGAUAUGAUACAGAACUCCGAUAGCGAAGGCAGCUCACUAAACUGAAACUGACGCUCAGGCACGAAAGCGUGGGGAGCAAACAGGAUUAGAUACCCUGGUAGUCCACGCCGUAAACGAUGAUCACUCGUUGUUGGCAACACAUCGUCAGCGACUGAACGAAAGUAUUAAGUGAUCCACCUGGGGAGUACGAUCGCAAGGUUGAAACUCAAAGGAAUUGACGGGGGCCCGCACAAGCGGAGGAGCAUGUGGUUUAAUUCGAUGAUACGCGAGGAACCUUACCUGGGCUUAAAUGUAGAACGACAUCCCGAGAAAUCGGGACUUCCUUCGGGACGUUUUACAAGGUGCUGCAUGGUUGUCGUCAGCUCGUGCCGUGAGGUGUCGGGUUAAGUCCCAUAACGAGCGCAACCCCUAUCCUUAGUUGCCAUCAGGUAAUGCUGGGGACUCUAAGGAAACUGCCUACGCAAGUAGUGAGGAAGGUGGGGAUGACGUCAAAUCAGCACGGCCCUUAUGUCCAGGGCUACACACGUGCUACAAUGGCCGGUACAGAGGGUCGCUACCUGGUAACAGGAUGCUAAUCUCGAAAACCGGUCUCAGUUCGGAUCGAAGUCUGCAACUCGACUUCGUGAAGCUGGAUUCGCUAGUAAUCGCAUAUCAGCAAUGGUGCGGUGAAUACGUUCCCGGGCCUUGUACACACCGCCCGUCAAGCCAUGGAAGCUGGGGGUACCUGAAGUCCGUGACCGCAAGGAGCGGCCUAGGGUAAAACUAGUGACUGGGGCU